UACGUAGGGGGCAAGCGUUGUCCGGAAUCAUUGGGCGUAAAGAGCGCGUAGGCGGUCCGGUAAGUCCGCUCUGAAAGCCCGGGGGCUCAACCCCGGGAGGCGGGCGGAUACUGUCGGGCUAGAGUCCGGAAGAGGCGAGUGGAAUUCCUGGUGUAGCGGUGAAAUGCGCAGAUAUCAGGAGGAACACCCGUGGCGAAAGCGGCUCUCUGGGACGGUACUGACACUGAGAGACGAAAGCUAGGGGAGCGAAUGGG
rnacentral:rRNA from 1 species